GAGGUGAGAAAAACAGAGGCGUCAAAGAUGACUCCAAGUCUUGGGCCGGAGCGGUUGGAAGGUCGGAGUCCCCGGCAGAAGACUAGAUACGUGCACCAGCAGUUUGGAAGAGGGGCCGACUGCAGGUUAUACAGCUCCUCCCAGGACGUGCUGAAGAGAAGUCAGUCAGAAUGAGCACAAAACACAUGAUGUUCAGCUAAAAUUAACUGACACCAUCCCAAAUGCUUUCUUCGGAGCAAGAACCAGGAAAGAAGGUAUUGUUUCCACCGGUUAAGAGAGGCAGAAAGGCGCGAGCCCAAGGACUCCACGGCGCAGCGAUGAGAAUCUACAUGGGGAAUGAGAACCCAGUCUACUGGCAGACCCUCCAGCUUGGAUGUUGACUGGAUGCCACUCGGACGACACCCCUGCCCGUUUCGCUUCCCCCCUCCCUCCCGCUGCUCUAGGAACACCCAGCCUUCACUCCUCGCCGCUUUCAUUUGAUCCUUCAUCGACUUUUACAGAUGAAUGCAAACACACCAGAAUAGGUGGCACUGCGCUAGCCCUCUGCCUCAGGAACGCGAGCUGGGGGAGGAAGGCUGCCCCAGCUGCCAAGACCACUUCCUGCAGCAGUGAUCACGGGAUCCGGUGUUCGGCUGUGUUUGAUUGCGGCCUUCCAGAACCUCGCUCUGUCACAGCAUAA
rnacentral:lncRNA from 1 species